rnacentral:tRNA from 1 species
GCCGAGGUGGCGAAACAGGCAUACGCGGCGGACUUAAAAUCCGCUUCCCCUUCAAAAGGGAGUGUGGGUUCGAUUCCCUCCCUCGGCACCA